CCGGCCCUACGGGGCGCAGCAGUGAGGAAUAUUGGUCAAUGGGCGGAAGCCUGAACCAGCCAAGUCGCGUGAGGGAAUAAGGCCCUACGGGUCGUAAACCUCUUUUGCCGGGGAGCAAGGGCCGGGACGAGUCCCGGUCCGGAGAGUACCCGGAGAAAAAGCAUCGGCUAACUCCGUGCCAGCAGCCGCGGUAAUAAGGAGGAUGCGAGCGUUAUCCGGAUUUAUUGGGAUUAAAGGGUGCGUAGGCGGGCUUUUAAGUCAGCGGUAAAAAUUCGGGGCUCAACCCCGUCCGGCCGUUGAAACUG
rnacentral:rRNA from 1 species